rnacentral:rRNA from 1 species
CCUACGGGAGGCUGCAGUGAGGAAUAUUGGUCAAUGGGCGUAAGCCUGAACCAGCCAAGUCGCGUGAGGGAUGAAGGUUCUAUGGAUUGUAAACCUCUUUUAUAAGGGAAUAAAGUGUGGGACGUGUCCUAUUUUGUAUGUACCUUAUGAAUAAGGAUCGGCUAACUCCGUGCCAGCAGCCGCGGUAAUACGGAGGAUCCGAGCGUUAUCCGGAUUUAUUGGGUUUAAAGGGUGCGUAGGCGGCCUUUUAAGUCAGCGGUGAAAGUCUGGAGCUCAACCAUAGAAUUGCCGUUAAGACUGGGGAGCUAGAGUAUGUUUGAGGCAGGCGGAAUGCGUGGUGUAGCGGUGAAAUGCUUAGAUAUCACGCAGAACCCCGAUUGCGAAGGCAGCCUGCCAAGCCAUAACUGACGCUGAUGCACGAAAGCGUGGGGAGCAAACAGGAUUAGAUACCCCAGUAGUC